rnacentral:misc_RNA from 1 species
UCACCCCUCAAGCCCCCCGGCUUGGUGUUGGACGGUUUGGCGGAGGCCCCCUCUCGGGGGGCUCUCGCCCGUCCCAAAGACAAUGACGGCGGCCUCGUUGGACCCCCGGUACACUGAGUUCUUCACGGGACACGUAUCGGACACACGGGUGCACGAGCCCCGGUCGGCCUCCCCUCGGGGAGAAUCUUUUCUCAAAA